AAUCCGGAACUAAUUAUAAUAACCCUGCCUUUUCUAGAAGUAGUAACGAACAUGUAUUAGCCUAGGAGCAGAAAAAGCUGCCGCCUGAUGUAACGUGUGUGCGUGUUGGAGGAGCCCAGACUCCCCGCGGUCAACUCUUAACCACUAAGUCCCUUGUCAGGUUAUUUCUAUUAGCAAUAAGGAGCAAUGGAACCUUAAACAUUGAAACCAGGUUGAUGAGCCUAUUCCACAAGGUCUCAUGACUCCACACAUGUGAAGUGAAAUCUGCCAGGUAGGGAUCAUUUGACCUUUGCUAUAAAGGAAGCAUGAGGAGUUAUGGGAAGAAUUGCCACUCCAGGGGAGUGUGAGGUUCAGGUUACUUAGGGUGCUUUUCUACUGUCCUGGUGAAAUGGACUCAGUGUUCCCAAGUAGGCUGCUUUUUCUUUGUGUUUUCUACAAUCUCUGUGAAAUAGUUUUGGAGACUCUAUGAGCUAGUAACAUCAGUGGUGACUACUCAGAAAAUGGAAAACUCUGGUGGUGCUACUUCCCUGUGAAGUUGUUCGGCAGUGAGUCAAGUUCAGAAGCUGGCAGUGAACUUAGAUGGAUUCUCAGCUGGUCUCCAGUCCUGGUCCCCGCUCCUGGUCCCCCCCAAGAAUUUGCUCCAAUACCUUCCCAGGGACAGAGUCUUCAGGCACGUCUCCUGUUCUCCAGGACCUUUCAAAGAUGAUAGAGUGGUUUGGCGAUCACCUCGGCCAGUUCCCUCAGCACACAUGGAUGCAUCCCAUCGGGGCCCAUGGAUUUGUGUGUGUUAAAAUGUUCAAGUGUUCUUCAAGUACGUUAAAGUGUUCAAGUUCUUCAAGUCUUCAAGAGCAACGACUGUUUAAAUUAAAGUGGUUUGAGUUAAAUGCUGCAUACAUGCUGUGCCAUCUCAGGCAUGGCCUGAUGUUCCAUUUCCCUGACUCUUGUGUGGGAUUGUAUUCUUUGGCAGGACAGACAGCUUAUACUUUGGGGGCUAAGUCUUAAACUGCUGCAGUAAAUUAACUAGACUUUGACUAGUAUAAUUAUUAUUUAAUGAGUGUCCCCGACUCACUACGUCACGAUUUUGUGUGUUGAAUUCUGAGGUCUGAAGCCUGUAAUGUCUGUUAAAAUGAAAGCAGAAUAGCAGGUGUUCCGCAUCAUAUACAGUAUCUGUAUGAAUCAGAUGUUUGACAAACUACUCAAUGCUGGUCAUAAAGUUUGUAAGUCUGGCCCAACAGGUGCCUCACUGGUAUAAGUAGAUUUUCUGACUGAGAUUACACCUGAUAAUUCAUUAUCUGAUCAGUUUUCUUUUCUGAGUUACUUCACAAUUUUGAUAAUUAAGAAAUGGGAAUUACCAGUUCUAUGUGUCUGACGAUAUAACAUUUGCUACAGAUGCGUGUUUUCAUCAAAACGUCUUGGAAUCUGUCUUUGAAUUGAGCACAGGGCAUGGGCAUGAAUGCGUCUUUCCUGCUUUCAGCUGUAAUUGCAUAUUAUAGCUGUAUCAGCAUACAUUUUUAAAAUUGGACUUGAAUAAGGACUUAGCUAAUUUUUGAGGGAUGUCUGCUGGUAAAGCAGACCUCUUCUAGCAAUACUGUGAGAUAUGGUACACCACACUGCAGGUUUCAGAUAAUGAAGUUGCAGCCAAUUAUGUCCAAAAUGGAAAUUCUCAUUUCCAUAAAGUAAUACCUAUUUAAAAAGUAGCCUUCAUUCCUGCUAUUGGCCUUUUACUUGUCUUUUAACUACAGGGUGCAACUAUAUGAAAGUUGGCAUGACUAAAACAUUUUCCUAUACUUGAAUCAAAAGAUAGCUGCUUCAUAUUUUUUGUGUGUAUGUAUACUCAAUGUGACCAUAAAUACCACUCAUGAAUGGUUCUUCCAAAUUACAUCAUUUCAGAAUAUUUUUUGAUGUGAUAUAAUGUCCUAAUAUCAGUGGCAAUCAUCUGACAUGACAGAACCUGGUAGUAGAAUCAAGGCUUAUCUAAAGUGAAUCAUAAUUAUGGUCACAUUUGCUAGUUAUAUAACUAAACACAUUAUUUAUUUUUAGAAAAUAUGCAAGACAAUCAUUAAAAAUAAAUAAAAUAUGCAAUUAAGGCUCCACUCAAAGUCAUCAUCCCAAGCCCAUGCUGUUCACAAAUUCACAACUAUUUGGCCCCAGCUCUGCAAACUCACCAGCUCUACACCAUACUUCAAGUAGGAGAACACCCCUGUUGGAUGUAGAGCAUGUUGCAGUCAUGAUUUUGCAAAGCAGUCCUCAGGGCACAAUGAGGAGGUUGUGUUCAUCACUGGGAUUUAAAAAGUAUUUUUGUUUUUAGCACAAAUAGCUUUGUCUCGAGAGAAUUCUCAAAAAAUAAAUACUAUAUUUCCAUAUUAAUGAGAAUGUGCUUACAUAUUUAACACUUCACGUUUUAUUCAAUUUUUAAUACUCUUAUCCAGUGGUCUGUACGCACGUACUUAAGCAAUGACAAAUAUAACAGAGCAUGCACAAAUUAAGAAUGCUUUGUUAUUAAGAGCAACAAACAUCCCCAUCUUUUCAGUAACUAUCUUUUCUUAAUCAAUGUCCCAUUCUUGAAAAGCGGAUGCCUUGCACCAUUCCCACACGGAGCCAAGUACUGAAUUACAUGUGUUAACGGAAGAAUAAGGCUGCCAAAUAACAAAAGAAGCAAAUGAAUGUCAUGAAAGGUCAUUUAAAAAAAAAAAAAGUUAGAUAUUCCAGCAAUCAGACCUCUCGUGAACAUGAAAAAAUUCUGGGAUUCCUGAGGGUAAAUUAGUUUUAGAAACUAGCAAAAAAAUAAAGAGAAAUACACAUUCAAAAAAAAAAAAAAAAGUAGGGAGCUUUGAAUUUGCUACCUACACUAUAAAUACUAGGAUGUCAAACUAUCUAUUAAAGGGAUUUUAAUUAGAAAUAAGCACCAAGUGGUACUUCUAAAAGUGUUUUUCUUUCAGGAUUUUUUUUUUUAAUUAAACUUCUAUUUUUCUUUAGUUAACCAUUUUGAUUUCAGUGUUUAUUUGGUACUUUGGAGCACUUUUAAUUAGCUGGCUUUCUGCACCAUUUCAGUAACAUUUCCCAAAUCUUUCAGGAAGUAAUGCGUCUCUACUUUCUUUCCCCAUGCAUGCUGUUUACCCAUACUGUUGCUGUCUGGUGUGUAAGACUUCCCAGCAUCAUGUA